rnacentral:rRNA from 1 species
GACGAACGCUGGCGGCGUGCCUAAUACAUGCAAGUAGAACGCUGAAGAGAGGAGCUUGCUCUUCUUGGAUGAGUUGCGAACGGGUGAGUAACGCGUAGGUAACCUGCCUUGUAGCGGGGGAUAACUAUUGGAAACGAUAGCUAAUACCGCAUGACAAUGGAUGACACAUGUCAUUUAUUUGAAAGGGGCAAUUGCUCCACUACAAGAUGGACCUGCGUUGUAUUAGCUAGUAGGUGAGGUAAUGGCUCACCUAGGCGACGAUACAUAGCCGACCUGAGAGGGUGAUCGGCCACACUGGGACUGAGACACGGCCCAGACUCCUACGGGAGGCAGCAGUAGGGAAUCUUCGGCAAUGGGGGCAACCCUGACCGAGCAACGCCGCGGGAGUGAAGAAGGUUUUCGGAUCGUAAAGCUCGGUUGUAAGUCAAGAACGGGUGUGAGAGUGGAAAGUUCACACUGUGACGGUAGCUUACCAGAAAGAGACGGCUAACUACGUG